UAGAAUGUGGUAUAAAAGAAGAACAAAGAGUUUUGAGUUCUUGGGUAUAGGUUCGAGUCCUAUUGUCCUAG
rnacentral:tRNA from 1 species